CGUUCCUCCAUAGAGGCGCUCGCUCGCCUGCCGCUGUGUAAGACGUCUCUUUGCUCUUCUGCCUUAAUUGUGAGGCCUUCUCAGCCGUGUGGAACUGUCAGUGGGCCUCAAAGGCAACAAUACAUCAGUACUGUCUGAAGAACUUCUCAAAUACGUGCUCCUUUCUAGGAUCCAGACACAAGAUAAGAAUUGGACUAUCAAAACGACUUAAAAUGUCAAAGAAUUACUCAUAAGAGACAUGGUAGGGAGAAGAUGUUCAUGUCCUAAUCCUCAGAACCUAUGAAAAAGUUACAUGGAAAGUGAAGAAUUAAAGUUACAGGCUGAUGGGCUACUUAGGCCUGAUGGUGCUCAAGCAAAGAUGCAGAGGCAAGCAGAAAGUUGCAGGGCUCUUAUGGCAUCGUCUCAGAAUCAAUGCUUCUGUUCUAGAGGCUGAGAAGUUCAAGGUCAAGGGACCCACAUCUGGCAGGGGCCUUCUUGCGGCAUCAUCCCAUGGUGGAAAGGAGAAGAGAAAGUGAGAGAGCAAGAGGGGCUGCCUUUAUGUUCGUAACAAGCCCACUCAAGAAAAUUAGCCACUCCCAUGAUAAGGACAUUAAUCAGUUCAUGUGGGCAGAGCCCUCAUGAACGAAUCACCUCUUAUUAGGCCCCAAGUCCCAGCCAUAUUGUAUUGAAGGUGAAAUUUUCAGCGCAUGAACUGUAGGGGGCACAUUCAAACCAUAGCACAUAGAAACAGAUCAUUGCCUUGUUAAGGUCCUGGUUUAAUGAGUGAAUAAUGGCGAUUGAUUUAUGAUUUACACAUCAAAGUAGCAGGUUCGCAAGGCUGGUCACAUUGGCAUGCUGCACUUAUUGGUAAAGAACAUUUAUUAUACGAAAAGGUAGAUGUUAUUGUUGUGUCUGAAAGAAGCUUGCCUUUUGAAUGUCUUCUGAUCUUGUUCAUUCUACUCAUUUGCUAGUUGAGUCCAUUUCCUCAGGCAUCAUACAAAGGUAAACUUUCUUUUAGUCUUUAUUUGCCUAUAAAUAGCAAAUUAAUUAAGACUGCUUUAAUAAGAUCUGCAGUGCCUACCAGCACAUGUUUAGUCUCUUCCAUACUUUUUUUUUUUUUUUUUGCUAAGAAAAGAUCAGUUUUAAUUCUUCUUUCCAUGUGUGACUUAUUAUUCAGUAAAUUCUUCAGUGCCCUUGGACUUGAUUCUCAUUCUUCUCUGUCUCCCUGAGUGAUUCACCUACAUUCCUUUGAAGUUGGUAGAGGUCUGAUACAUGAAAGAAAUAGGCAGUGUUAGGAAAGGGACCAAAAAAACGGAGCAAGCAUUUUAGACCAGGAGCUUCCGGUGCAGAAAAGGAGGGGAAGUGAACAUCUUCACAUGAGUUAUCUUCAAAUGAUAUUCUAUUUAGACAAGUAGAAAGAAUGCACCUAUAUGUCAGCACGGUACUGUGUUAUUUAUAUUUGAUAUAUGGAUAACAUGAAAAUAAAAUGUUUAUGAAAUUACAGAAAAUAUAUGAUUUCCUACUCUGUUGGCUAAACCGCCAUUAAUAGAAAAAUAGAACAAGACUUCCUUUUGGAAGCGUAGUAGCUUUGUGAAAUGCUAAAUUUUGUAAGAUGUUUUAUCUCAUAAAUCAAUAUGGAUUUCCAUAAUUGUAUCUCUUUUGUUCCAUUCCUAAUAGUAACAUUUUGACACCUACACCCACACACAUACACACACACAAACACAUACACACACAAACACACGUGUGCCUGGUAUUUUAUGUGAAACAGAAUUUUUAACAGUGAGCUAUAGAAUUGGAAAAUUAUUUGCCUAUAUUCUUAAAUUUGAUUUGGGUAGAAAAUUACUGGAAGCAGAGUCUAUCAUUUCCAGCUAGACUAAUGGUUAUUAAUAACUAAUGUUGAAGAAAUGGGGGUUUGCUGACACAGGAGCUUUCUGAAGUCAAGACUUCAGUUAGUCAUUUUAUUAGAUAGCUAUAAUAGUUACUUAUUUUUGUUUUUUGAGACAGAGUCUUGCUCUGUUGCCCAGCCAGGGUGGAGUGCAGUGGUGAGAUUUUGGCUCACUGCAAUCUCUGCCUCCUGGGUUCAAGCGAUUCUCCUGCCUCAGCCUCCAAAGUAGCUGGACUAUAGCUGCCUGCCACCAGGCUGGUAAUUUUUGUAUUUUGAGUAGAGAUGAGUUUCACCAUAUUGACCAGGCUGGUCUCGAAUUCCUGACUUUGUGAUCUGCCUGCCCCAGCCUCCCAAAGUGCUGGGAUUACAGGCAUGAGCCAUUGCACCCAGCUCAAAUUUGUGAACUUUUCCAAUCAGUUUUCCUCUUAUUCACUAAGUGCAGGUUAUAAUUACUCAUUAAUGGCAUUAUUAAUAUAGUUUUAAUUAUCUCAACUAGUUAACAAAGCCAAUGCAUAUCAUCAUAAAAAUAAAUGUCACUACAACAGAAUAACUUUAAAAACAGUGCAGACUCUCAAAUUUGUUUCCCCAGAGCUUAAGUACUUGUCUUAGAGGAGUCCAAGUCCUGUUUGGCUCACAUGUUUACUGACAUUGCAUCAUGGCCCUUCUUCUGCACUCCUGAUAAUGGUUUGUCUGUUGGAUGCAAUGUUCAUGCUUCUAGUCAUUCGUUUCAUAUAGAAUUCACUGAUUGCUGUAUUAACAGCUUUAAUUUAGGAGAGAGAAAUAAUUUAGCUACAAAGAUAACACAAUCUGUUUCCAGAAAAGUAUGCAUAGCUGAGAGAGGAAUAUUUUUAGUGUUCUUAUGAUGUUUUUACCAUAGUAGGAUAAUGGGCAGGAGUGUGUGCAUGGAGAAGGUGAUCAGCUAGACUCAGAGAUCUAAUGUGAUUUGUUUGACUCACUGGAAUUGCCUAAAUCAUAAAUAAGUUUUUGUAGUAAUUGUGUUAAGGCAUACAUUUCAAAAGGUAUAAUUUAUAUUCAACCAUUCAAAUAACAAUUUGACACAUGCUUUGAUUUGCAUUCAAGCAUAUCAAAAGCAUGUGUCAAAUUGUUAUUUAAUUUAUUAAUGAAGAAACCUACAGGAUGGGAAAGCUGAUUCAGAAGAAAAUUGGUAGAUUAUGCGUGGUUACUAGAAUAAAUAAUGCUGGAAUAAGGUUGCACGAAAGCAUUAAUAGUGAUGUCCUGCAGAACAAUUGAAAUUAUACCCUUUUUGUGGCCUUUUCUAUCAGAAAAUAAUUAUUGCAUCUUUAUUAGUCAAAAUUAUUUAUAACUGAUUGUUUUACAAGUCUAACUUUAUAUAGUCUGGGCUUGAUCAAUAGUGAACAAUAAGUCAAAAAUUGGUACCUUUCCCUAAAGAAUUAGAUAAUAGUUGGUUGGGUCUCUUAUAUGCAGCAGUAUAAUAUUGCAAACAAAUUCAUUUGAGUUUCACUUUCAAGUUUUCGAUAGCAUUUUAUUAAUAAUUAUGAUUUCUGGAAUAAGCUGUAAACGCAUUU